UGGCUCUUCCACCCUGUGGGGGACACGUCUGAGGAGCUGCAGCCUUUUCAUUUUAGGGAUUUUUUUUUUUUCCUUCAGGUGGAUUCCCAGAGGCGGGAUUCCUGGGUCCACGACUGCAAGCUUUUUUCAUUCUCAUCAUUCCCCGCCGGACCCCGUGAAUCGGCACACAGUUUGCUCAUUUUCCGCCCUAGAGCGGGUCUGCACGAGCGGCGGUCUCGUCUGAAGUCAGCUUUCUAACGCCUGCGUCUUCCCCCACAGGAGUGUGAUUAGCCCCAUGCUUGCCCACUGGCUCAUUAGCUAAACAAGGCCCCGCACUUGGUGCAGGGAAUAGGCAGUGAGCCUGAGGUCAAGGCCCGCCCUCAGGGCGCUGGCCGGCCAGGGGGAGAGAAGUGCUAAGACUAGGUAAGAGCAGGGACUGCGGGCAGGGCAGCCUCUCUCCAAACUGUGCCAGCACCAGCACAGGGGGAGGUGUGUUGGGGGGUGGGAUGCUGCCAGGUGCGUGUGUGUGUGUGUGUGUGUUUGGGGAGGCUGGAGCAGCUGGGAGGGCCCUAGCAACUGUCCAAGGAGGGGCUCAGAAUCAGGCUUGUGUCUGAUGUGCCCGAGAUGCAGCCAAAGGUGAUCCCCUGUAGUUCCUGUGUGUGCAAGUCUAAAUCACCCGGUCUCAGUCGACUGGCACGGGUGGCUCUGCUGAUGGACCGUCUCUGUUCACACCACCGUCUACCCUGCGGCCCACUCUCCUACCUGGCUGACCCUUUUUGCCUCUCGGCUUUGCGCCUGCUGCUCCCUCCUCUCCUUGCCCAUCUCCACCCCUACCUGGUGACCUUCUAGCUGGGAGUGUUUCUGCACAGAGCCUAGAGCCCCCUGAGGGCGGGGUCAUUGCUAGCUAGUCUCCAGACUCCGGGACCUGGCAGACAUGGGCACUCGGGGGGCAGUUGCUGACCCAGGGGUUACAUGCCAUUUCUCCCAACCAGAGAGCCAGAGCAGCAGCAGCUGUCAGUCAGGACCCACAGGCUGCCAGGCUCCCACAUGCUGGGCUCUGACUCCAGCCCCGCAUCCUGGCUGCGGAGUGCACAUCAACACUGAGAAAAGUUCUGAUAGAAUCUGGUGGUGGAGGAGCAGAUACCACAUCAAGGCACGAUCACAACCACAUAAAGUCAUCUCCACACAGAGAUGACAUCAGACAAGAACGUUAGGCCAUGCAAGCCGUUGACCUGUUGGGGUGGCGAGCUAAUGGGGGAUUAUUUUCCAUCUUUUCUAUUGAUUUCUCUGGGUGUUACUGUAUAAUUAGCACACGUGCAGAAGAUGGGUAAGUAAACAGACCUUUCCACUUGGCGUGAUGAGCCCUGGGACUCUGGUGGGUCCAGGGUGGGGAGCGAGCAUCCUGCCGGGGAAGGGUGGCAGAAGGGCUGACUGCAGCGCCCGGAUCAGGCAGGAGGGAGCACAGAGGGCAGGCGACAGGCUUCACAUUCACACAGAGAGAAGGCAAGGCUGCAGGGCAGACAGAGCCCAGAGCGCGAGGGGCCAGCUGCCAGGCUGAGGACCCCGGCACACUCCACCAGCAAGGGGGCCCCAGAAGGACCCCGUCGGAGGCCCUCCACCAGGGUGCAUCCAAACGUCUCCACUGGCAUCUGACGCCCUGGCGGCCAGCACAUGAGCCACACCAGGGCAAGCAGGCCUGUGGUAACAGCUGAGGGGUUACUGAGGACCCCAGAUCAGGCAGCUGGGUGGCUGCCAUGGCUGCCUACUUCCCCCACACAAGGAGCGCCAGCCGGGCGCAAGUCGAUGCUGCCAACCAGUCUAUUUCCAGCUGCACGAGGUUUGGAUGAGGCCAGUGACAGGGAUGGGUGCUGGGGCCGGCAGGGCCGGGGCUGGCUACCGGCCACCAUAAACAGCACGUUGGUGCUCGGAAAGGCUGGUGGCUGCAGCGUCUGCCCAGAUGCAGCCAGGCCCGGCCAACGUCCAGGGUGACCCUGAGCACCACCCAGGGCACCACCCAGGUGGCCCCAGAGUAAGCGAGCUGACUGGCACAGGAAGGGCUGCACAGGAGACUCGGGGGCACCCUUAUUUGUUGGUAAUGCCCAUUUUAGGCACACCGGUCAGUUCUGGCUUGGGGCGUGUUUGGUGGCAGGGUAUUUUUAAAGAGCCUUCCCAAGACACUUAUUUGUUGUUGAUUUCUCUGAGUUCUGACCAAGCCCUUGGCACAUGGACUGCAAACAAGAAAGAUGAAGGAACGUGUCUGCUUGCCCGUCCUGUCCUCUGCAGCGGGGUGUUUUUCUUUGCUGUUCAUGGACUUGGCACUCUCCCCCUUGGGACAGAGCAAGACUUCUUCCGCAAGCCACCAAAUGGAGACCUAGUCAAAGGCCAAAGAAUUUCCAUCAGAUGAACAGUUGUAAAAAGCUGGGAGGAGAAGCGAGUCUGAAUCCAGCUUGUCCUUUGACAGCAAAUUCCCUCAACUGAGCAUGCUGAGAUCACCUGAACGUGGGCCAAGAAGAGGGGCGGGGGGGACCCAAGUAGAGAGAUCAGGAAGAAACCGCUCCGGUCUACCUUGAAAAGUACUGGUGUUUAUGGAGGAAGUCUACGGCUGUCCGAAGCUGUUUAGUUUUACAUUAAAUUGGUCAGCAUUUUUUUCCCCAGCAAGAAAUGCACUUGAGC